GAAAACCAAUCGAUCUGUGCCUGUGACGGGCUGUACCUGGGCUUUGAGGCUUUUUACAAGAGGCCCUGUGGUCCUACUACACCCUGCCCCAGGAAAAGAGCCACAAAUCUGGGUCUGUCUAGAGAGGCCUCAGGAAAGCAGCCAAUCAGAGCCCAUCAGGCUCAUCUAAAAGGAGCUGCAUGGCCUCAGCAGGUCAGUUCCUGGCAGGAACUGGAGGAGCAAGAAAGGGUGCUGCUCUCUGGCCACAGAACUUCAGGGGAUAGCUAGAGUUUGAUUCUGGAAGCAUUUGUUUAAGCUGUGUUUGCAGGAAGAGAGUCCCUAAGAACUUUAACCCUGAGGUGAGAGUGAAGCUGAAAGUGGCUGGUAGGAAGAAGCAACAAUGAACUGAAAAAAAAAAAGCAGUGCCUAGCUACUGUUUACAAGAUCCAUGGUUUGGAAGCCAGAGUUAUGGGCAGGCCCAGUUCCCCUACCAUCUACAGUGGCAUAAGCCCCAGGAAGGGGAAAAUGCUUAUGGAGAGCUUGAACAAAGGGCAGAAUUUCAAGGACCCAGAGUUGGGGCUGGAGACCCUAGUGAGGGCAAUGGGACUGUUCUUGACUAUCCCAGAGGGGUUCAUUUGGACUUUGGGACUUAGCCAGAGGCCUGAGCAACAGAAGACUCACUGAGGUCAGCUGGCAGGGUUCCCCAGGGGUGAGAAAAGGACUGUGGUACCAGACCCAGCCACUAAGAGGCUCUCAAAAGGUCCUAGCACAAUGGGAAUCUGGUCUGUGACUGGGACUAUGAGGCAGUACUGGAAUACAAAUAAUCACAUGCUGAUCUACAGAAAUACUUUUGUACCCUGGCCAUCCCCACUGGCUUAAGAGAUCAGUCACUGAAAAUGGAAGUAUGUGAACUUGACCUCUGCAGUUUAAUUCAGUCCCUUCAUCUCCUGCACUGAGUGUUCUUUCUGCUCAGUAUAUGCUGUCUGAAUGCACAGGAGAACCCUGAUGGAUGGUGACAAAGGAUGGUGAAUUAUACCAACCAACUGAGGCAUGAGGAAGUGGACCAAGCAGUAGAGAUGACUGUAAAUGUCUGA